GAUGAACGCUGGCGGCGUGCCUAAUACAUGCAAGUCGAGCGAACAGACGAGGAGCUUGCUCCUCUGACGUUAGCGGCGGACGGGUGAGUAACACGUGGAUAACCUACCUAUAAGACUGGGAUAACUUCGGGAAACCGGAGCUAAUACCGGAUAAUAUAUUUAACCGCAUGGUUCAAUAGUGAAAGACGGUUUUGCUGUCACUUAUAGAUGGAUCCGCGCCGCAUUAGCUAGUUGGUAAGGUAACGGCUUACCAAGGCAACGAUGCGUAGCCGACCGGAGAGGGUGAUCGGCCACACUGGAACUGAGACACGGUCCAGACUCCUACGGGAGGCAGCAGUAGGGAAUCUUCCGCAAUGGGCGAAAGCCUGACGGAGCAACGCCGCGUGAGUGAUGAAGGUCUUCGGAUCGUAAAACUCUGUUAUUAGGGAAGAACAAAUGUGUAAGUAACUAUGCACGUCUUGACGGUACCUAAUCAGAAAGCCACGGCUAACUACGUG
rnacentral:rRNA from 1 species